rnacentral:rRNA from 1 species
UUUAUCGGAGAGUUUGAUCCUGGCUCAGGACGAACGCUGGCGGCGUGCCUAAUACAUGCAAGUCGAGCGGACAGAUGGGAGCUUGCUCCCUGAUGUUAGCGGCGGACGGGUGAGUAACACGUGGGUAACCUGCCUGUAAGACUGGGAUAACUCCGGG